AGCUUCUUUACAGUGCUGCCUUG
rnacentral:ncRNA from 10 species